GGCUGACCGACUGUUGCUGGAGGCUCAGAGCUGCAUACACACCACCAGAGACAAGGCCAGCUCAGCUCAGUGGGAGGCAGAUGAGUUCCAGCGCAGAGCUCAGGACAGCGCCUCCUGUCUGCUGGAGGCCACGCAGCACGUCAGAGAGCUGCAGGAGGAGGUUGGGGAUCUUAGGAGGAGG